rnacentral:hammerhead_ribozyme from 1 species
GUUCAGUCGACGAGUCCCAAACAGGACGAAACGCGCGUCUAAACUGGAU